GACGGAGGAUUCAAGCGUUAUCCGGAAUGAUUGGGCGUAAAGCGUCCGCAGGUGGCCGUUCAAGUCUGCUGUCAAAGACCGGGGCUUAACUUCGGAAAGGCAGUGGAAACUGAACAGCUAGAGUAUGGUAGGGGCAGAGGGAAUUCCUGGUGCAGCGGUGAAAUGCGUAGAUAUCAGGAAGAACAUCGGUGGCGAAGGCGCUCUGCUGGACCAUAACUGACACUCAGGGACGAAAGCUAGGGGAGCGAAUGGG
rnacentral:rRNA from 1 species